rnacentral:rRNA from 1 species
UACGUAGGGGGCAAGCGUUGUCCGGAUUUAUUGGGCGUAAAGAGCGUGUAGGCGGCCAGACAGGUCCACUGUGAAAACUCGAGGCUCAACCUCGAGAGGUCGGUGGAAACCGUCUGGCUAGAGUCCGGAAGAGGAGAGUGGAAUUCCCGGUGUAGCGGUGAAAUGCGCAGAUAUCGGGAGGAACACCUGUGGCGAAGGCGGCCCCCUGGUUGGAUACUGACGCUGAUACGCGAAAGCGUGGGGAGCAAACAGG